CGGCACAGACAAUUUCGUUAUAUUUUCUAUAUUGCCGGCCUUUUCUCUGAUAGUGCUUCCCUUCCGUUAACGAAUUAUAAUUUUUAAGCUUAUUGGAAGGCUUAAUUCUGUGUUAACAAAUGUUGUCACGAAAUCAGUUGAAAGUGCAAAAAAAAGGGGAACUGCGACAAUUUGAUGCGUAUAGUCAAGGAUGAGAUGCUGGAGAACUGUGGGAAUGAAUCUGUGGUGCUGAUAAUCACUGGAACGUAUGUGAAGGAUCAUUUGGGUAGUAAGUUUUCUUCAUAUUGCUUUUGUGCAUGAUAGUUAAUUUUGUGUGAUUGCAUAUCUU